CUGGAUUGCUACACCCGGUUUUCAUCAACCUGCAUGGAACUUUUCUAUGUCCUCUCUUCAUCCCCCAACUGGACAAGAAAGCAAAAGGCAAAGAAAGACAGCGGAGGGAAUUCCUCUUUCAACCCAGACAUUUACAUCAUACUGAAAAAAAGUUAAACCUCACCAAAUGGCUUUACUGAAUUCUGAAAAGAUCAGAAUUCUAAUUACCAAGUUUUGAACCACAAUGAUGCAUAACAAACUAUAUUAUAAAUACGGAAACAAACAUCCAAAGAAGCAACUGGUCUUCUUUAAAGUACUUCCUUAC